UACGUAGGGGGCAAGCGUUGUCCGGAAUCAUUGGGCGUAAAGCGCGUGUAGGCGGCCCGGUAAGUCCGCUGUGAAAGUCCAGGGCUCAACCCUGGGAUGCCGGUGGAUACUGUCGGGCUCGAGUCCGGAAGAGGCGAGUGGAAUUCCUGGUGUAGCGGUGAAAUGCGCAGAUAUCAGGAAGAACACCCGUGGCGAAGGCGGCUUUCUGGGACGGUACUGACGCUGAGACGCGAAAGCGUGGGGAGCGAACAGG
rnacentral:rRNA from 1 species